CACAGACAAUAGGAAAUGA
rnacentral:snRNA from 1 species